rnacentral:rRNA from 1 species
AAGCGUGCGAGGCGGUUUUGUAGACUGUCGUGAAUCCCCGGGCUCAACCUGGGAAUGGCGAUGGUGACUGCAAGGCUAGAGUUUGGCAGAGGGGGGUAGAAUUCCACGUGUAGCAGUGAAAUGCGUAGAUAUGUGGAGGAACACCGAUGGCGAAGGCAGCCCCCUGGGUCAAAACUGACUCUCAUGCACGAAAGCGUGGGGAGCAAACAGGAUUAGAUACCC